GCGGCGGUCGUUCAACCUGGUAGGACUUUAGGUUGCCAAUCUAAAAAUCCGGGUUCAAAUCCCGGCCGCCGCA
rnacentral:tRNA from 1 species